GAUGAACGCUAGCUACAGGCUUAACACAUGCAAGUCGAGGGGCAGCACAGUGUAGCAAUACACGGGUGGCGACCGGCGCACGGGUGCGUAACACGUAUCCAAUCUGCCCGUUACUCGGGGAUAGCCUUCUGAAAGGAAGAUUAAUACCCGAUGGCAUGUAUUUCCGGCAUCGGAGAUACAUUAAAGAUUUAUCGGUAACGGAUGAGGAUGCGUACGAUUAGCUAGUGGGCGGGGUAACGGCCCACCAAGGCGACGAUCGUUAGGGGUUCUGAGAGGAAGGUCCCCCACACUGGAACUGAGACACGGUCCAGACUCCUACGGGAGGCAGCAGUGAGGAAUAUUGGUCAAUGGUCGAGAGACUGAACCAGCCAAGUAGCGUGAAGGAUGACUGCCCUAUGGGUUGUAAACUUCUUUUGUUUGGGAAUAAAGUCAGGUACGUGUACUUGUUUGUAUGUACCAUUCGAAUAAGCAUCGGCUAAUUCCGUGCCAGCAGCCGCCGUAAAAC
rnacentral:rRNA from 1 species